AGGAAGUUAACCUUUAAAGUGCUGGUGGCUUUUCCUCCCCCUUUUCCUCCUUUCAAAAGCACCGGCUUCUAAAAAGAAGUCUUCCAAAUCUCUCUUUGACACGACACACUCCCAACAAAUGUAACACAAUCGCUGGGUGUCGAUCCACGGAGCGAUCUGCGCGCUUAAGAGCUUUUCUUUUGUUCUCCUCCUCCUCCCUUGACUUUUAAACAGAGUUGGAAAUGAAACAGCAGAGAGAGGGAACCCACCAAAGCGAGACAGAAUGUCAUCUGACAACUCUACCAUUCUCUGUGAUGUGCAACUCUUCUCAGGGACCAGCCCUUACGACUUGCCUUGACCCUUCCACUUGCCAGAGGUAAAUGUGGAACAGCAGCUCCUCGGGAACGCGAUUCAGAAAGCUCUGGAAAACAAGUCAGCGGCAUUCAGAAGCAUUUAGCCUCUAUGUCUUUUCAAGGUCAAGCCUGAUGCUAUAUGUGCUUGGAAAUCACAUGCCUCGGUCAUAUUACAUGGCACUGUGAGGCGGUGAGACAAUGAAGCCAUGUGCGCAGGAACCACAGCAGCCUCGCGAUGUCACAGCGAUGAGGCAACCAAAGACGAUCAGCUCUCAUGAAUCAGACUGCUCCAAGAGGAGGCAGCACAGCUUGGUCUCCAGACGGUGAGCCAGGCGAGCGGAGAAGAGCUGGGGUUUCUGUCUGCUUUAUUUUGUGAUCUCUUCUUAUUUACAAAAUAAAAAAAUAAAAAAAUAGAAGGAAGCCAGAGAUGCAUUCUGCCCCCCACCCCCAUUUCACUCACUGAGAGAUUCAUUCUGAUGAUUUAUUUGUAUUGCAUCUAGAAUCCACUUUGCAGUCAUUAAUUAGUACCCAGGAACUAAUUAGUUCUCCAGGUAGGCAAGCUGAGUGGGCAACUUGUGUCAAGCCAGCCUGCGAUUGGCACAUAAUGUUCCAUGACCCUUAGCCAGGAAGGAGCCGUUCGUAGAGAAUAGCAUCAGAUAAAGAGCAAUAAGGAAAACAGAAUGGGAGAUCAAUGGUCUACUGAGCCCAUUUUCCUCAAUGACAGUAGCCUUAAUUUCUUGCCAGCAUUUGUCAGGUCACCCUGGCUUUUGUUGUGGAGCACAGUGAUAAAAAACCCAAAAUGAAAACAACUAUGUUAGUUCUGUGUCUUAGACAACAAUGUAUAAAAUGUGAAUCAGGGAGUGGAGCGGGAAUGAUGAUUGCGGCACCAUCAUUUUACACGGGGCUGCAAGCGAAAAGCAUGGAUCCCUGUCCCAAGGCACCUCCAGUCUGUAUUUCAACAGUGUGAGGACCCAUAUAGGGGGAGAAAGAGGCAAGAUAACAACAGAUGACUAUCAGUGGAUACAGUUAGAAUAAUUGAAUCAUAGAAUUGUAGAGUUGGAAGGCACCUCAAGGGUCAUCUAGUCUGACCCCCUGCAAUGCAGGAAUCUCAGCUAAAUCAUUCAUGACAGAUGGCCAUCCAACCUCUGCUUAGAAACCUCCAAGGAAGGAGAGUCCAUCACCUCCCGAGGGAGACCACUCCACUGUCAAACAACUCUUACUGUCAGAAAGUUUUUCCUGAUGUUUAGUCGGAAUCUCCUUUCUUUGUAACUUGAAGCCAUUGGUUCUAGUCCUACCCUCCAGAGCAGAAGAAAACAAAUUGUAUGUAGGUUGCCUACUCUUCCCUUUCCACCUUCCGCUUCUCAUGCAGACAUACUCCUUCCUGUGUGGGAAUCACUUUCCCAAAGAGGUCACCCAUGAAGUCAUGAUAUCAGUGGGAAUGCAACAGUCAUAUGAAUGGAGCUGAUUGCCUAUUCAGUAAUUUUCUUCCAGUUUCCUAUCCUCUCUCCUGGUAGGGUAGCUUUUGGUUGGAAUGAUCAGGUCUAAGUGGUUAUUGUAUCAAUAGUAUUAUAAGGAGAGAAAAAACCUGCUCCCUUUCCCUUAUGGGGUAUCCAUGAGCCUGUAUAGAGUCCUUAAGUAGGUUCUCUGUUGGUAGGAGAAAAUAACAGAGGCCAACCAGAGAAUACUGAGAAGCAAAGCAGCUAGUAAGCAUGAAACUGUUGCAACAGCAUCCCCUACUCACCCCAAGCAGGGAGGGAGGAGAGGAACCCAGAACAAUGGUGUGUAAGCUCUUAUAUAGACUUUUGAAAUUUCCUACCCUGUAGCUCAAGAUCAACCCCCAAAACAUCCUACAUACAUCACAGAAGGAGGUGGUCUGUAGCAGAAAUACAUCACGGGGGGGGGGGUCUACUACAGGAAUCCUGUCUUCCAGGAAACCUGACAAUGGUCAAUCAUUGCUCUAUCUCGCAGCCCGGCCAUUCUUUUGUGAUGAUAAAUGCUUUAAUUCCUGAAUCCAGGUCACAGGCUCACCCUAUUCAUACACACAUACGCCCUUAAGACAGGUAAGCAAAAGACAAUGAAGAGGCUUUCCCAUUUCCUUCCUCCUUGCAGAGAAAUAUUUGAGAUCAAUUUGGGAGAGUCAAAAUGGUUUCAGGAUUGCUCUCCUGUCCUAUUUCAGACACGUAGUUUAUAUACUUAUGUAUGUGUUUGCCUUGUAAAUUUAUUAACAUGUGAUUUUUAUGUAUAAGACCUUAGAAUUCAUAUACAGUGGUACCUUGGGUUAAGAACUUAAUUCGUUCUGGAGGUCUGUUCUUAACCUGAAACUGUUCUUAACCUGAAGCAGCACUUUAGCUAAUGGGGCCUCC